rnacentral:rRNA from 1 species
AUUGAACGCUGGCGGCAGGCCUAACACAUGCAAGUCGAGCGGAUGAAGGGAGCUUGCUCCUGGAUUCAGCGGCGGACGGGUGAGUAAUGCCUAGGAAUCUGCCUGGUAGUGGGGGAUAACGUCCGGAAACGGGCGCUAAUACCGCAUACGUCCUGAGGGAGAAAGUGGGGGAUCUUCGGACCUCACGCUAUCAGAUGAGCCUAGGUCGGAUUAGCUAGUUGGUGGGGUAAAGGCCUACCAAGGCGACGAUCCGUAACUGGUCUGAGAGGAUGAUCAGUCACACUGGAACUGAGACACGGUCCAGACUCCUACGGGAGGCAGCAGUGGGGAAUAUGGGACAAUGGGCGAAAGCCUGAUCCAGCCAUGCCGCGUGGGUGAAGAAGGUCUGCGGAUUGUAAAGCACUUUAAGUUGGGAGGAAGGGCAGUAAGUUAAUACCUGGCUGUUUUGACGUGACCAACAGAAUAAGCACCGGCUAACUUCGU